GGUUCCGGUGCAAAAAGUUGACAUGCAUGUGUCUGGACACAUGGACACAACGAAUUACAAAUAUUGAAGUCUUAUCUUUCACCUAAGGCAACAACCAUUUUCUUAUCGGGGGGGGGGGGGGGCUGGGAUUUUUAUUAUGUUCAUAAAUAUUUUUUUCGGAACCUAAGCUUCCUCCGAUAAUUUUUUUUCCUAUAAUGUGGAACAGAAAUACAUUCUAUUUUUCUCAAAACCAUAAAAUUUACAUAUUAAUUCAUUUUAAUUUUUUAAUUGAUGUAAAAUGUAAACUGCAUGGCUCUGUCUAUAUCCUGGCAUUGGCUGUUGUCUCUGUUGUUUUUUUUAGCCCACUUUCUACAUUAUGAUAUUCUCUGAGUCCGUCAUACAGGUACCACAGUCCUUGAAUUUUAAUACUGCAAUUGAAGUGGCCACCAUUGCCAUAUGUAAGAGUGAGUAGCUCCAAAUUAUAAACAUCCACUGUUUCCAACUAUGAUAAUUGAUAUUCCAUUGAAAAAAGAGGUAUAAAAAAUGAUACAGAAUGAUACAAAGGAAAAUACACAAUCAGGGCUACUUUAAAAGACUGCUUUAAUAUGAUACCAUAUCUAUCCCUGUUAUAAAAUGACCAUAUCAGGGGCGGAUCCAGCCAUUUUAAAAAGGGGGGUUCCCAACCCAGAGUAAUGGGGGGGGGGGUUCCAGCUAUAUGCUCCCAUUCAAAUGCAUUGAUCGGCCAAAAAAAAGGGGGGGUUCCAACCCUGGAACCCCCCCUCUGGAUCCGCGCCUGCAUAUCAUGUUUAUAAUAGUUGCAGUUUUAAGUAUGUCUUAAUCUAGUAGCAUACAUGUACAUGCGGGAGAUUUGGAAUGCUUUUAAAUAUUUCUGGAUCAAACACUUACAGGAAAAUACAAAAAGUAAUAAGGUAUAAAUAUAAAUCUUAGCUUAAUCUGUAGACUGGACAGAUGUUUAUAAUCUGCUGUUUCACUGUCUCAACUGUUGUUAUUUUCACUAUUCUCAAAUUCAGCAGUGCAAAAUUUUUUUUCAAGCAGGUGACAGCAUAAUUUUUUUUUCAGCUACAUUGCAAAACAUAAAUUUUUUUUUCAGCUACAGUUUAAAACAUAAUUUUUUUUUCGUUCAUCUAGGCCAUUAAAAUAUUUUUUUUCAAAAAAAUCCCAGGCCCCCCAGAUAAUAAAAUGGUUGUUGCCUAAAUACAAACAAAUAGUAAAAAAAUUAAGAAAGAAAACAUUCCAGGAUAGUCCAAAUGUAACAAAUAUAGACCCCCCUUAUUUUUACUGAAAAAUCAAGUGUAGAAAAUACAUUUGUCUGUCUGUAAGUAUAUCCUCAGAACAAGAAAAUCUUCAUCAAACAUAGCUGUGAGAACAGAGCUAGGGAGAUACCCACUAGAGAUGCAUAUAAAAACUCAAAGUAUACUUUACUUUAUAUCAAGAUUACCAAAUUCUGAAAUUAAUCCAUUAUUAUAUGAAUCCUUUUUACUUUCUAUAAGUUUAGAUAAUUCAGGUUGCUAUACCUGGUUUACAUAUGUUAAAAAUAUUUUGAAAGAGGUAAACAUGGACAUAUCCAUUCUUGAGGGAAACAAAAGAAAAAAAUACUGAAAUUUAAAAAAAAAAACAACCUUAAAACAUCAAUUAUUAAAUUUCUACACAAAUAUAUUUUAACAAAAAUUUGAAAAAAUAGAUAAAAAAAGUAAAUUGUAUUUAUAUAAAAGUUUAAAGCAAAAUUUUAAAAUGGAAAACUACUUAAACUGUAAAUCUUUUGAAAAGAGAAGUAACAUAACAAAAAUGAGAAUUAGCUAUCAUAAUUUAGUGAUAGAAAAAGGAAGACAUUUAAAAAUACCUAUCUAGAGAAAAAAGACUAUGCACAUCCUGUAAUACAAUGGAGGAUAAAGCCCAUUUUAUUUUAUACUGUAAAAAAAAUGCUAAGCUAAGAGAUAACUUUAUAGGAAAUGUAAUUAAACAUAUGCCAGAUUUUAUGUCUUGGCAAGAAAAUGAAAAAAUUAAAUAUCUUUAAUCUGCGACACGCCCUGCCAGAAAAAAAAAACGACAUUAAACAUACACAAAGGCCUUAACAGAAAACAUACCUGCAAAUGUCCCAUAGGCCACACGACCUAAAGGAAAAAAAAGGAACCAUUUGACAUACACAAAGGCCUUAACAGAAAACAUACCUGCGAAUCUCCAAUCUGCGUCGCGCCCUGCCAGAAAAAAAGAAAAGACAACAUUAGACAUACACAAAGGUCUUAACAGAAAACAUACCUGGGAAUCCUCAAUCUGCGUCGCGCCCUGCUAGAAAAAAAGAAAAGGCGCAAUUAGACAUACACAAAGGUCUUAACAGAAAACAUACCUGGGAAUCCUCAAUCUGCGUCGCGCCCUGCUAGAAAAAAAGAAAAGGCGCAAUUAGACAUACACAAAGGUCUUAACAGAAAACAUACCUGGGAAUCCUCAAUCUGCGUCGCGCCCUGCAAAAAAAAAAAAAGGCCACACGACCUAAAGGAAAAAAAAAAGAAACCAUUAGACAUACACAAAGGUCUUAACAGAAAACAUACCUUGGAAUCCUCAAUCUGCGUCGCGCCCUGCUAGAAAAAAAGAAAAGGCGCAAUUGGACAUACACAAAGGUCUUAACAGAAAACAUACCUGGGAAUCCUCAAUCUGCGUCGCGCCCUGCAAAAAAAAAAAGGCCACACGACCUAAAGGAAAAAAAAAAAACAUUAGACAUACACAAAGGUCUUAACAGAAAACAUACCUGGGAAUCCUCAAUCUGCGUCGCGCCCUGCUAGAAAAAAAGAAAAGGCGCAAUUAGACAUACACAAAGGUCUUAACAGAAAACAUACCUGGGAAUCCUCAAUCUGCGUCGCGCCCUGCUAGAAAAAAAGAAAAGGGACAACCUUAGACAUACACAAAGGUCUUAACAGAAAACAUACCUGGGAAUCCUCAAUCUGCGUCGCACCCUACUAGAAAAAAAGAAAAGGCGAAAUUAGACAUACACAAAGGUCUUAACAGAAAACAUACCUGAAAAUCUCCAAUCUGCGAUGCGCCCUGCCAGAAAAAAAAGAAAAGGCGCAAUUAGACAUACACAAAGGUCUUAACAGAAAACAUACCUGGGAAUCCUCAAUCUGCGUCACGCCCUGCAAAAAAAAAAAGGCCACACGACCAAGCCCUGCUAGAAAAAAAAAAGGCGACAUUAGACAUACACAAAGGUCUUAACAGAAAACAUACCUGAAAAUCCUCAAUCUGCGUCGCGCCCUGCUAGAAAAAAAGAAAAGGCGACAUUAGACAUACACAAAGGCCUUAACAGAAAACAUACCUUCGAAUCUUCAAUCUGCAUCGCGCCCUGCUGGAAAAAAAAGAAAAGGCGCAAUUAGACAUACACAAAGGUCUUAACAGAAAACAUACCUGGGAAUCCUCAAUCUGCGUCGCGCCCUGCUAGAAAAAAAGAAAAGGCGCAAAUUAGACAUAC
rnacentral:lncRNA from 1 species